rnacentral:lncRNA from 1 species
AUAGGACCUGCUUUCCUAAAAUAAAUAAUUCAUAAAAAUAAAUUUGAAAAAAUUAAAACUCUAUAAAAGAUAGAUCUUGAUCACUUCUAUAUCAACUUUAUCUUUUAUAGCUCCACCUAAUUCUUAUCUGAUUAGGAGAUAUGCUUAGUCAAAAUCUUUUCAAAAAAGAAAACUUUCAUAUUGAUCAGCCUAUUUUAGAGCCC